AUUGAACGCUGGCGGCAGGCCUAACACAUGCAAGUCGAGCGGAUGAAGGGAGCUUGCUCCUGGAUUCAGCGGCGGACGGGUGAGUAAUGCCUAGGAAUCUGCCUGGUAGUGGGGGAUAACGUCCGGAAACGGGCGCUAAUACCGCAUACGUCCUGAGGGAGAAAGUGGGGGAGCUUCGGACCUCACGCUAUCAGAUGAGCCUAGGUCGGAUUAGCUAGUUGGUGGGGUAAAGGCCUACCAAGGCGACGAUCCGUAACUGGUCUGAGAGGAUGAUCAGUCACCCUGGAACUGAGACACGGUCCAGACUCCUACGGGAGGCAGCAGUGGGGAAUAUUGGACAAUGGGCGAAAGCCUGAUCCAGCCAUGCCGCGUGUGUGAAGAAGGUCUUCGGAUUGUAAAGCACUUUAAGUGGGGAGGAAGGGCAGUAAGUUAAUACCUUGCUGUUUUGACGUUACCAACAGAAUAAGCACCGGCUAACUUCGUG
rnacentral:rRNA from 1 species